ACACGUAGGGGGCGAGCGUUGUUCGGAAUCAUUGGGCGUAAAGGGCGCGCAGGCGGCGAGGCAAGUCCGGUGUGAAAGUGCUCGGCUCAACCGAGUGAUGCGCUGGAAACUGCCCUGCUUGAGUACAGGAGGGGACGUCGGAAUUCCAGGUGUAGGGGUGAAAUCUGUAGAUAUCUGGAAGAACACCGGUGGCGAAGGCGGACGUCUGGCCAUGUACUGACGCUGAGGGGCGGAGGUGCGGGGAGCGAACAGGUUUAGAUACCCUGGUAGUCUGCACAGUAAACGAUGUGCACCAGGUGGCGGGGGGUAGCCCUCGGUACCGAAGCCAACGCAUUAAGUGCACCGCCUGGGGAGUAUGCUCGCAAGGGUGAAACUCAAAUGAAUUGGCGGG
rnacentral:rRNA from 1 species